rfam:Myotis lucifugus cont2.27701, whole genome shotgun sequence.
CCCCAUGUAGCUCAGUGGGUAGAGCACCAGCCUGCACACUGAAGGGUCAUGGGUUCGAUUCCCAGUCAAGGGCG